rnacentral:tRNA from 1 species
AAGUAAGAAGCAAAAAUUGCAAUCAAUUUCGACUUGAUCGUAGGCUAAAGCCCUUAUUUA